AGGACGAACGCUGGCGGCGUGCCUAAUACAUGCAAGUCUAAGGGGUGCAUACCCUUCGGGGUGUGUAUCACUGGCGCACGGGUGAGUAACGCGUAAGUUAUCUGCCCCUGGGUCUGGCAUAACCUCGGGAAACCGGGACUAAUUCCAGAUGAUACCGAAAGGUCAAAGCUUCGGCGCCCAGGGAUGAGCUUGCGUCUGAUUAGCUUGUUGGCGGGGUAAUGGCCCACCAAGGCUACGAUCAGUAGCCGGUCUGAGAGGAUGAUCGGCCACAUUGGGACUGAGACACGGCCCAGACUCCUACGGGAGGCAGCAGUAAGGAAUAUUGCGCAAAUGGACGAAAGUCUGACGCAGCAACGCCGCGUGCAGGAUGAAGGCCCUUUGGGUUGUAGACUGCUGUAGCGAGGGAAUAAGUUCUCCCGUCGGGAGAGUGAAGGUACCCUAGAAAGUAAGCGCCGGACUAACGUACGUGCCAGCAGCCG
rnacentral:rRNA from 1 species